rnacentral:rRNA from 1 species
AUUGAACGCUGGCGGCAUGCCUUACACAUGCAAGUCGAACGGUAACGGGCCUUCGGGUGCCGACGAGUGGCGAACGGGUGAGUAAUGUAUCGGAACGUACCUUUCAGUGGGGGAUAACGUAGCGAAAGUUACGCUAAUACCGCAUAUUCUGUGAGCAGGAAAGCAGGGGAUCGCAAGACCUUGCGCUGAUUGAGCGGCCGAUAUCAGAUUAGCUAGUUGGUGAGGUAAAGGCUCACCAAGGCGACGAUCUGUAGCGGGUCUGAGAGGAUGAUCCGCCACACUGGAACUGAGACACGGUCCAGACUCCUACGGGAGGCAGCAGUGGGGAAUUUUGGACAAAUGGGGGGCAACCCUGAUCCAGCCAUGCCGCGUGAGUGAAGAAGGCCUCGGGUUGGUUAAAGACGUC